AACUGGGAUUAGAUACCCCACUAUGCUUAGCCCUAAACAUAAAAAAUUAUAAACAAAAUUAUUCGCCAGAGUACUACUAGCAAUAGCUUAAAACUCAAAGGACUUGGCGGUGCCUUAUAUCCUUCUAGAGGAGCCUGUUCUAUAAUCGAUAAACCCCGAUCUACCUCACCAAUCUUUGCUAAAUCAGCCUAUAUACCGCCAUCUUCAGCAAACCCUAAAAAGGAAACAAAGUAAGCACAAGUAUAAACAUAAAAACGUUAGGUCAAGGUGUAGCUUAUAGAGUGGAAAGAAAUGGGCUACAUUCCCCGAACCGGGGAACUAAAAUUUAUACGAAAACCUAUGUGAAACCAAAAGUUAAAGGUGGAUUUAGCAGUAAACUAAGAAUAGAGUGCUUAGUUGAAUAUGGCCAUAAGGCACGCACACACCGCCCGUCAC
rnacentral:rRNA from 1 species